GGCGCGCACGCAUGCAGACAGGGGCGGCGGCGGCAAGGAUGGCGUCAUGCACGGCGCUGCAGCGCGCACGGCGGCGCGCGCGCGGCAAUCAAACAAUGAAGAGUUCACGCCGACGACAAAACAAAGCAAUCAAACUGCAGGGGGGAAAUCAAGAAGCGGCGGUGGUGUGAUCGAAUCGAUCGUCAAAGGAAGGUGGUUCCGGCGAAGCCGCGGUGGAGGAGGUUGUGGGCGAUGUUGUCCCUAUUGCGCUUGGCGGCCUCGGAGCGGACGGGGGUCUCCUGCAAGGUCUUGUCGUCGACGAGCUCGUACCGGAGCUACGGCUCGAGCUCCUCGUCGCGCGUCUCGCAGAUGUUGUGGAGGACGCAGCAGGUGCCGAGCACGACGGGGAGGUCCUGGAGCUUCACCUCCGUGCGCUUCUGGAG